rnacentral:sRNA from 1 species
GUCAACUACCCACUGACGGUUGAUGUCGAUCAGUGGGCUUGUAUAAACAAUCCCACAAGCCCGGGUGACUCGUCUCUCAGCCAUCAACUGAAAGGCUGGUUAGGUUACGUUACCAGUGAAUAUUUAGGUAUUUCGGAAUGAUCCACUUCGAUUAAAAUUGAUCGAAAAAUUUCGAACCCUGCGCUUGGUUUGUAACCAUAGUUGAUGAGUAGGUGAAAUCAAGUCAGGAUAUCAAACCACCCACUGAGUAACAUUGACGAUGUGGACGUACCCGCGAAAGCGG